rnacentral:lncRNA from 1 species
CCAACUGACUCAGUCUGGAACUGAAAGGAAGGAAGGAAGAUGUGUAGCUGAGACUCCCUGAACAAACCAUCCAUCAAGCAACUGGCCUUUGAGGAUCAACUGGCUGAGGGUGAGAGGAAAAUCUCCAGUCUUCCUGGUGGACAGAUUGACUAGGGAAAAGACCUCUACCUUACUGGGACCAUCUGAGGAUACCACAACUGGGAUCUCUGAUACCUGACCAACCAUUGACUCUGAAUAUAGAGGAAGGUGGCAGCAAGGGAAAUUGAUAGAGGAUGAAUACAAAAGUGUGGUUUGAAGCUAUAAGCAUAACAUCAGAAGUGAGAAAGCACAGAAUGAGCUGAGGCCAUUGACAGGGCUGCCUUGGCAUAUAUCAAAACCAAGACAACAUUUUGGAACCACAAAGGAGAAAGUCAAGAUGUGGAGGGGAUCACUGUGUAUAGAAUUAUAUUUCAUUCAAAACAGGAAAUUUCUCAAGCUAAGCAGGGGAGUCAGAGGAAACUUAUAUUUCUAUUUUAAAAUCAACAACAACAAAGCAAACAAACAAAAAUGAAUAAAUUAAUUUUCCCAAGGCCUG